AGAGUUUGAUCCUGGCUCAGGAUAAACGCUGGCGGCGUGCUUAACACAUGCAAGUCGAACGGACCGCAAGGUCAGUGGCGGACGGGUGCGUAACACGUAGGUGACCUGCCCUGGAGUGGGGAAUAAUUCCGCGAAAGCGGGACUAAUACCGCAUAUGCAGCAUGGUUCAGUUCAUGUUGUAAAGUCGCAAGACGCUUCAGGAUGGGCCUGCGGCGGAUUAGCUGGUUGGUGGGGUAACGGCCUACCAAGGCGAUGAUCCGUAGGGGGCGUGAGAGCGUGACCCCCCACAUUGGCACUGAGACACGGGCCAAACUCCUACGGGAGGCAGCAGUGAGGAAUAUUGCGCAAUGGGCGAAAGCCUGACGCAGCAACGCCGCGUGAGGGACGAAGGCCUUCGGGUCGUAAACCUCUUUUCUGAGGGANGAGAC
rnacentral:rRNA from 1 species